rnacentral:rRNA from 1 species
CCUACGGGGGGCAGCAGUGGGGAAUAUUGGGCAAUGGGCGCAAGCCUGACCCAGCGACGCCGCGUGAAGGAAGAAGGCCCUCGGGUUGUAAACCUCUAUUAGCAGGGACGAAAAAAGUGACGGUACCUGUUGAAUAAGCCACGGCUAACUACGUGCCAGCAGCCGCGGUAAUACGUAGGGGGCAAGCGUUAUCCGGAUUUACUGGGUGUAAAGGGCGUGUAGACGGGAGUGCAAGUCAGACGUGAAAUGCCAGGGCUCAACCCUGGGACUGCGUUUGAAACUGUUCGUCUUGAGUGAAGGAGAGGCAGGUGGAAUUCCGGGUGUAGCGGUGAAAUGCGUAGAUAUAAGGAGGAACACCAGUGGCGAAGGCGGCUUGCUGGACAUUAACUGACGUUGAGGCGCGAAAGCGUGGGGAGCAAACAGGAUUAGAUACCCUAGUAGUC